GCGCACGUAACUUUCACGCAUUGGGUUGCAAGGGGGACGGGAAUGGGUCCCGUCCGGUUGCGAUGCGCGAAAGG
rnacentral:sRNA from 1 species